rnacentral:rRNA from 1 species
AGUGAACGCUGGCGGUAGGCCUAACACAUGCAAGUCGAACGGCAGCACAGUAAGAGCUUGCUCUUACGGGUGGCGAGUGGCGGACGGGUGAGGAAUACAUCGGAAUCUACUUUUUCGUGGGGGAUAACGUAGGGAAACUUACGCUAAUACCGCAUACGACCUACGGGUGAAAGCAGGGGAUCUUCGGACCUUGCGCGAUUGAAUGCGCCGAUGUCGGAUUAGCUAGUUGGCGGGGUAAAGGCCCACCAAGGCGACGAUCCGUAGCUGGUCUGAGAGGAUGAUCGGCCACACUGGAACUGGACCACGGUCCAGACGCCUGCGAGAGGCAGCAGUGGGGAAUAUUGGACAAUGGGCGCAAACCUGAUCCAACCAUACCGCGUGGGUGAAGAAGGCCUUCGGGUUGUAAAGCCCUUUUGUGGGGAAAGAAAAGCAGCAGGUUAAUACCCCGCUGUUCUGACGGUACCCAAAGAAUAAGCACCGGCUAACUUCGUG